rnacentral:rRNA from 1 species
GAACGGGUGAGUAACCGUGGGUGAUCUGCCCUGCACUUUGGGAUAAGCCUGGGAAACUGGGUCUAAUACCGAAUAUGACCAUGCGCCUCCUGGUGUGUGGUGGAAAGCUUUUGCGGUGUGGGAUGGGCCCGNNNNNUAUCAGCUUGUUGGUGGGGUAAUGGCCUACCAAGGCGACGACGGGUAGCCGGCCUGAGAGGGUGACCGGCCACACUGGGACUGAGAUACGGCCCAGACUCCUACGGGAGGCAGCAGUGGGGAAUAUUGCACAAUGGGCGCAAGCCUGAUGCAGCGACGCCGCGUGAGGGAUGACGGCCUUCGGGUUGUAAACCUCUUUCAGCACAGACGAAGCGCAAGUGACGGUAUGUGCAGAAGAAGGACCGGCCAACUACGUGCCAGCAGCCGCGGUAAUACGUAGGGUCCGAGCGUUGUCCGGAAUUACUGGGCGUAAAGAGCUCGUAGGUGGUUUGUCGCGUUGUUCGUGAAAACUCACAGCUUAACUGUGGGCGUGCGGGCGAUACGGGCAGACUUGAGUACUGCAGGGGAGACUGGAAUUCCUGGUGUAGCGGUGGAAUGCGCAGAUAUCAGGAGGAACACCGGUGGCGAAGGCGGGUCUCUGGGCAGUAACUGACGCUGAGGAGCGAAAGCGUGGGGAGCGAACAGGAUUAGAUACCCUGGUAGUCCACGCCGUAAACGGUGGGUACUAGGUGUGGGUUUCCUUCCUUGGGAUCCGUGCCGUAGCUAACGCAUUAAGUACCCCGCCUGGGGAGUACGGCCGCAAGGCUAAAACUCAAAGAAAUUGACGGG